rnacentral:ncRNA from 1 species
CGUUGCAUUCGCAGAUGCGGAUGCCUAACGCCCGAAACGCGCAUCGGUAACGGGAAUGCGGUGCGGGUGAUGCGUCACCCAAUUCCGCAGCUGUCCCUGCAACUGUAAGCGGCGAGCGGCUGGUUCAGACAUGCCACUGAGAGAUUUCUCGGGAAGGCGAACCGGCAGCAGCGACCCGUGAGCCAGGAGACCGACCGGAGCGCGUCGCUCUUG